UACAGAGGUCUCAAGCGUUGUUCGGAUUCAUUGGGCGUAAAGGGUGCGUAGGUGGCGCCAUAAGUCGGGUGUGAAAUCUCGGGGCUUAACUCCGAAACUGCAUUCGAUACUGUGGUGCUUGAGGACUGGAGAGGAGACUGGAAUUCAUGGUGUAGCAGUGAAAUGCGUAGAGAUCAUGAGGAAGACCAGUGGCGAAGGCGGGUCUCUGGACAGUUCCUGACACUGAGGCACGAAGGCCAGGGAGCAAACGGG
rnacentral:rRNA from 1 species